rnacentral:rRNA from 1 species
GACGUAGGGCGCGAGCGUUGUCCGGAUUUAUUGGGCGUAAAGGGCGCGUAGGCGGUUGGUUAAGUCAGCUGUGAAAGCCCGGGGCUCAACCCCGGAGGGUCGGCUGAUACUGAUUGACUAGAGUACGGAAGAGGUAGCUGGAAUUCCCGGUGUAGCGGUGAAAUGCGUAGAUAGUCGGGAGGAACACCUGAGGCGAAGGGCGGGCUACUGGGCCGAUACUGACGCUGAUGCGCGAAAGCCAGGGGAGCGAACGGG